AUGAAGUAUCAGACUAUCAGUGCCCGGAUCCCCCCGAAAGUUAAGAUUUUUCUCUGGCAAGCUAUUAGGGGGCGUCUGGCAGCGGCCAACCAAAUUCGCAAAAGGAAUGGCCCGGGAUCGGAGUUUUGCACCCUUUGUGGUGCCUUGGAGGAUACAAAUCACAUUAUCUUCAAUUGUGUUCUGACUAAGUUGAUCUGGAGCUGCGUUACAGAGUGGCUCCAGGUCUCCUGGGACCCCUCAUCGUUCCUUGAACUCCGGGCCCUCGCUAAUUCCCUGAUAGGCGCUACCAAACGGGGUUUUUUGGGUUGGUCUGGGAGCGGUUUGCUGGUCCCUUUGGAUGACUAG
rnacentral:rRNA from 1 species